rnacentral:rRNA from 1 species
UACGUAGGGUCCGAGCGUUGUCCGGAAUUAUUGGGCGUAAAGAGCUCGUAGGCGGUCUGUCGCGUCGGACGUGAAAACCCAGGGCUCAACCCUGGGCCUGCGUUCGAUACGGGCAGACUAGAGUUCGGUAGGGGAGACUGGAAUUCCUGGUGUAGCGGUGAAAUGCGCAGAUAUCAGGAGGAACACCGGUGGCGAAGGCGGGUCUCUGGGCCGAAACUGACGCUGAGGAGCGAAAGCGUGGGGAGCGAACAGG